GACGAACGCUGGCGGCGUGCUUAACACAUGCAAGUCGAACGGAAAGGCCCUGCUUGCAGGGUACUCGAGUGGCGAACGGGUGAGUAACACGUGGGUGAUCUGCCCUGCACUUCGGGAUAAGCCUGGGAAACUGGGUCUAAUACCGGAUAGGAGCCAUUUUUAGUGUGAUGGUUGGAAAGUUUUUUCGGUGUAGGAUGAGCUCGCGGCCUAUCAGCUUGUUGGUGGGGUAAUGGCCUACCAAGGCGGCGACGGGUAGCCGGCCUGAGAGGGUGGACGGCCACAUUGGGACUGAGAUACGGCCCAGACUCCUACGGGAGGCAGCAGUGGGGAAGAUUGCACAAGGGGCGCAAGCCUGAUGCAGCGACGCCGCGGGGGGGAUGACGGCCUUAGGGUUGUAAACUCCUUUCGCUAGGGACGAAGCUUUUUGUGACGGUACCUAGAUAAGAAGCACCGGCUAACUACGUG
rnacentral:rRNA from 1 species